AGCCAUCAGUGCUCAGGUUGAUAUGAAGUUUCUGAUUCAAUAGAAAGGAAUUUGCUAAUCCUUGUGGUAUUGAGUUGAGUUCAGUCUGAAACAACUUGAUUCAAAGCCACAUGACUGACAAACCUAAAUUGCCAAGCAUAUGGAAGUUCAUUAAAAAUUUGAGGUUGAUUUGAAGUUCUGCUUUUAAUAGAAUUUGCUGAAUAAUUUUUUUUUUCAAUGUGUCUCUGGAAAUGGACUUCUAAUACUCUUUCUGCAUUUCAAUCCAAGGAUACUUUGAAUCUGAUUCUUCCCUUCGCACGCAACUUCUUAAAGACCAUUUUCAACCCUUCUUUAUGGUCAAUUAUUAUCUCUAUUCAUUGUGAUGAAUCCUGGCAUUAAUCUGUUGAAUGGUAUAAAGUGCAUAAAUAAUAGCCCUGGCUGCUCCUCUAAUAUUCUCUGGUUCAGCAAACAAUCCAUCCAGAUUGAGGAAUGCAGAAGUUCUACACAUUCACAAUAAGUUUGGCUAUGAAUAUGAUAGCAUAACUCAAGAAACAUAGUUAAAGUUCCAACAAUAUUAAAUUCAAUAAAAGUGAAAAGUUUUCUGGAGGUACUCUUUUCUCGUAAUGACGAGCUGCAUAAAUUUUGUGGAGACCUUCAUUCCCCUGGAGUUAUUUCUAUCAAGGCACAUUGCAGUUGCUUUGCCAUUGCAUUUCAUAGAAAUCAUCAUUGUGGAUGUUUAUUUACACUUUCAAUAUGGAGUGCUGGCUAAGCUUUACUCAUUGGAAUGAAACUAUUCUGUGGAGGCGUGUAGGAUAAAAAGAGAAGAAGAAAAGAAAAGAAAAAUCUCUUUAGUAUCUGUUUGUUGUUUUUGGAUGUGCACGUGGUUAGUGAAGUUUAGGGAUGAGAAAUGUUUGACAAUUAGUUUUGCAUGCUCUCCUUAAGUGAUUAAGAAGCUGAAGAAGAAUAAGAAUAUUUUGCAAUGCAAAAAGAGAUUACAAAGAAUGUUUCAAAAGUAGAUUUAGGGAAUAUUAAGGUAUAAACAAGCUUCGCAGAUUCCCCAAGACUAUCCUUUUUUUUUUUUCCCCUGGUGCAGAGUUACACUAGUGAUUAUAUCCCUUUUGGCAUGUACUUUUCCUCCAGUUAUUAUUACAUUACUUCGCAACUUUUUUUGGGAGAAUUAUAUUAAUUUCCAUCAUGAGCAUCUGUUUGUUUUUCAAGCAAUAGACUCCGAGUUUUUAUUUCCCUCUUGCUCAUUGUGGUUUCAAAGUACAGUUGGGAUUGAUACUUUUAUUUCUAUUCUUGCAGGAUAUGUGCAGAAAAUAACAGCUCGCAAGGACAUUGGUGUAAUGGAGGACUUGGAUAAUGGAAGGCCACCCUGAGCCUAGAGAGUUUUUACAUUUCAGGGAGUAUACGCAGAUUAUAAUUUUGAUGAUUUGUAGUUUUUACAUUUUUCAUGUAAAUUGACCGUUUACAUUUAUAGAGAAUAAAAGUGAACAUCCUCAAAAAGCAGAAUUCAGAAAAGUGACGCAAAGAAUUUAUUCUUUUCUUCUUUUCCUCUUAUCUUCUGCAACCACAGUUUUGCUCUUCCUUGCCUUUAUGCACAUCCUCAGAAUCUUGUGUUCAACUGCUGGCAAGUUGCUUAAGGAAUAAUAGAUAACUUAUGCUUUAUUAGACUUUAAAUAUAGAGUAAACUUUCAUUUUUCUAGGCAGGAUAUCAAGUUUGAAGUCAUCUAUCAGCUGAUCUAUUGUUGAAAGUUUAGUAACGUUCUGUUUCUUUAAGCUUCUCACUGUUCAAAGAAAACAAAGACUCCAUACAGCAAUGCAGAAUAUUAGUUUUCUAGAGUUCCAGUACAAGCUUUCAAGAAGCAAGCUUCUGCGAAGGCCAUCCCGAUUGUUCUCUUCCCGGGACAGGCAAAGCUCUAGCACCAGCAGGACCAGCACACCACCCACUUUGCAGCCAAAUUUGAGCGAGAUGAGGCAGGUUUUCAAUAAAUUUGAUUCAAACAAAGACGGCAAAAUUUCUCAGCAGGAGUACAAGGCCACACUAAGAGCUCUGGGACAGGAAAACAUGAUAGGAGAAGUGCCAAAGAUUUUCCAGGUGGUUGAUAUGGAUGGAGAUGGAUUUAUAGAUUUCACAGAGUUUGUUGAAGCUCAAAAGAAGGGAGGAGGCAUUAAGACGACAGACAUUCAAGGUGCUUUUCAAGCAUUUGACGUUAACGGAGACGGGAAGAUAACUGCUGAGGAACUUAUGGAAGUCUUAAGGUGUCUCGGUGAGAGUUGCAGCCUAGAGGAUUGCCGGAGAAUGGUGAGGGCAGUUGAUGCUGAUGGUGAUGGUAUGGUUAACAUGGAUGAGUUCGAAACCAUGAUGACAAAGACUUUUAUUAAUCGAGAAUGAGAGGGCCUAUUCUUUUACGAAGGCUUCGUUUACUUGUAAUCCUUUUCUGUGACAAAUGCAACUGGAUAACUUCUUAUUCAGAAUUCUUCAUGUGAUGCAUAUGUUUAUAAACCAUAGUAAAGUGUUUCCUUUUAUUAUAUUUUUU
rnacentral:misc_RNA from 1 species